UUUAUCCCACAUUGCAGAUGUGGAAAAUAGUUCAUUUGUGUAGAUGGAGAAGGCCUAUGCAAAGUAUACGUACAUGCGAUGGCACUUUAUGAUGCGCUUUGCACUUCUAACUUCGCACGUUUAUAUUGGUGCAUGAGGUGUCCCUUGUCUGAGCAUUUGUGCAUGUCUGGUUCAUUUAGCGUUUUGGUUCAAGUGGAUUUUAUGUUCUCGUAGAAUGCCCCCUCCGGUGAAGAGUCAUGCUCCGGUAGAGUGGUGUGAUUGGUGAAUUGUGUCCGACAAGAUGGUUCUAGUGGAUUGGUGCAUCCCGGUAAUCCCUGUAUUUUGUGCCCUUUGAUGAAAUGUGGAGCUCCAAGGAAGCACGCUCAAGUACUUGUGCUCUACCAGUGAAAACGCGUAGAGAAUAUGUGACAUUUGGUCUUCUAAAACUUGAGGAGGCUUCGAUGACGGUUACUUUUGGAGCUCGAAGAGGAACUGCGCUGCACUGACAGUUGAGAUUAGGGUACUUUUAUCUCGAUUUAUAUAUGGAUGUGUUUUUUCCUGUUUUGAUACACCGAAGCCAUUCGAGUUUUCAAAGUUGGGAGAACUUUUGCUCUAUAGAAGGCAAUUAUUGCGUUUUAGAUCUUACAAUAGUUGUGUAUUUGUAUUGAUAAGAUAAUUCCCUAGAUCCUUG
rnacentral:lncRNA from 1 species